rnacentral:rRNA from 1 species
UACGAAGGGGGCUAGCGUUGCUCGGAAUUACUGGGCGUAAAGGGCGCGUAGGCGGCACUGUUAGUCAGGCGUGAAAGUCCUGGGCUCAACCUGGGAACUGCGCUUGAUACGGCAGAGCUAGAGGAUGGAAGAGGAUCGCGGAAUUCCCGGUGUAGAGGUGAAAUUCGUAGAUAUCGGGAGGAACACCAGUGGCGAAGGCGGCGAUCUGGGUCGAUACUGACGCUGAGGUGCGAAAGCGUGGGGAGCAAACAGG